rnacentral:lncRNA from 1 species
UUGAUUAUUCCGUAGUGUGAUGUUUAUAGUCCCACUUGUCCGAAGUUUUCCGUAUGUUGAAAAAUUUAGCUUUAAGAGAGAUCGUGACCUUGAAAAUGCACUAAUUACCUGUUUUUAUGUUUUAAUCUUUUUUUUUUAACCAUUGGAUGCCUCAAAUAUUAUUUACUAAAACAGUAAGAUGCAACAGCUCUUCAGAAUUUAACUCAAUCGUUUAUGACAUCCGUGCUUGACCUCUUUUCAUAAAGUUUGAAUCAAUGAAGCUCUGAAAAUAUGUUUCUUCAUAAACUUAACCAAGAAAUCCUUUCUGUAAGUUAGAUUUGUCAAAGUUGAGCCUCUUUCUUCUUGAAACGGUUGUUUGAGCAUGAGUAUGACAUUUUAUCUGUUGCUACCCGGAUUUUAAGUAGAUAUGAUCCCGAUCUUCUCUUGAUGUAUGUUAUUGUUCACCAUUACCUGUAACUAGGCCAAAAACACCUGUGUAUUUCUUUUUAAUGAUAGGUUGUUAGGAAUUAGGACCAACAAAGAUUUAUCCUAGGUUGUUAGGAAUUAGGACCAACAAAGAUUUAUCCCACUUUAGACAUAUUCAGGGGUGUGGUAAAUAAAUAAAUGUUUAAGAUAUUUUAUUAAGCUGUUAUAUUCUUUUCAACCCUUUUCCUUACUUGAUAAGUUUCACCCUUAUGUGCUUUCUAUGAGCUACUUAAUGAAUGCAUUCAUUUGUUUGUGAUAUGUACUACUUGCAAUUUAAGUACCAAAAUUAUGUUUUAUGUUUUCUGUGAAUAAAUUGUUCUCUAAUUGAAUGUUGUUCAAAUGUAAAUAGAAAUAUUUAUGAUCAAUAUAUCUCUAAGUGGUUGUUGGUGUUUUUUCCAAGAUUAUAUAUUUCUACGCACUGCUUACAAUGAGAGGCAAUAUACCUUAGGGUUGAUAAGAGGAUGCGAAGGUCUGAUAUUAGGAGAGAAGGUGUGGAUAUCCAAACAGUUGUACUAGUGUUUUCUUGAUUGGCUAUAAUUUUAAAUUAGUAGCACCUAUGUUUACACUGUUGCUAAAACAUUUUAGUAGUAAAAUUGUUUUAUCCUCCAAAACCCUUGCCCCAUGAAAAUAUAUUUGCAUAUAUUUGAUUUAUGUGGGAAUAUUUAAAUUGUUCGUACGUAGCAUUUUCGUUUAUCGUGUCUAAUCAUGUUCUUUCUUCAUCGAAACUCACGUACUAAUCUUUUCUAUCCCUUUUAUGCAUGAACCUCCUCAUUGAGUUCAUUGGACUCCCAUCUAUCGCAUUCCGUUGGGUUAAAUCCAACCCCCAUCGAGUCAAGCUUCAUUAAAGUCCAACAAUGUACUUAUAUCGCAAGACAACACUGGUAUACAAUUGUAUACAGAUGAUAUACAUUAGGAGGCAGCAGCUGCACAUUAUACCGUGGUUCAUGAUGAAAAAUGGAGUCGAAAUACGCAGCUUACCGCACUGAUAUACACCGUAUAUGCAGCGGUAUACUCAAAAACGCAGAAAAUAAGCUGCUGAUAUACAGCAGAUGUACAAGGGCAAAAAGGGGGCUAAAGUCCAUGGAAUUGGUCCAAAAUUGGACAGAUUUUUUAAUGGGCAAAAAGGGGCCCCAAUUCUCACUCUGCUCUCUUUAAUUAUCCACUAGUAUACAUACACGCGCGAUGCGCGGAUAAAAAUAUUAUUUCUUAUCUUUUUGGAUUGUGAUGUUUGAGCAUGUUAAAUCAUCUUACCUUAAACAGAAUUUAAUUAUCAUAUUAUUCCUUAAUAAAAUGAAUCCCAACUCCAAAUCAUCCCUCUUCCCCCUCCCCCACCCCCACCAUUCCAUAGCCAAAGCUAUACACAUAGUGACAAUGAAUCACAAAAUAUAGAAAACUUUUAUAUUUCAUAUUUUAUGUAUUAUGUUGCUCAAUUUUUAAAUUUAUUAUUAACUUGUUAAUAUUAAUUUUUAAUAGCUUAUCACUUGGCAUAAUGUAGUUAUUAAGUGUCCUUGUGAUUAAUUAUGAGAUAGAUAUAUUAAUUUUGUUUACUUAUGACUUUUUUUAUUUUUAAAUUUUUAUUCUAUUAUUCACAUCUUUUCAAUUUAAAAUUUAUAGAUAGUAAUAAGUGUAUAAUCUAGUUACUAAAUUAUAUUCUCAAAAUUAGUUCAAAAUAUUACCCCCACUCCCCCAUCUUCAUAUUUUUUCCUACUGUAUUUAAUUGUUUUCUCUGGUAUAUUUUGAUAUUUAUGUUCUUUCUUAUUUCAAAACAUACAAUGCUAAUUUAAAAUUUAAGUUACUUAAAUUUUAAUAUUCCUUUAAUUCAUUAUUAUCAAAAUUUUAGUUACUAUUUGUCAACAUUUUAGUUAAUAAUAAUAUAUUUAUCAAUAUAUUUGUAUAGAUAAGAUUAGGAAAUAUAAGAUUAUAUUUAACUAUAUUUUAUAACAUUUAAAUUUUAAAUAGAUAAGUUAUGAGUUUCUAUUUUUAAGAUAAUGGAAAAAAGAUUAUUUAAAGGAUAAUGACUUCAAAUUUAAAUACUUAAUUUUUUAAUUCAAAACUUGAUAAGAGUUCAAUUUGAACUCUCUAAUAUGAUAACUAACUAUUUUUAAUAAGUAAUUUUAUUUUAUAAUUUUUUUAAUUUAAAAUUAAUAAUUUAUUAGUCUUACUUAUCGUUUGAUUGUUUAUCUUCUUUCUUUUGGCACGUUUUCUUAAUUUUCUUUUGUUUUCUUUUCUUUCCUUUCUUUUUUCUUUUGUUUUGUUUGUUUGUUAAUUUUUUUUGUUAUAAAAAUAAAUUGACAACUUAGAUAUAUAAAGGUAUUUCAAGUAGAUAUAUACGUUGAAUUUAAUUAUUAAAUUAAUAAUAAUAAUAUUUGAUAUAGAUAAGCUUAUGAAAUAUAAAAUUAUAUUUAACUAUACUUUAUUGCAUUUAAAUUUUAAAUAGAUAAGUUUGAAAUAACAAAUAUCUAUUAAAACUCUCCAAUUAUGAGUUUUUAUUUUUAAGAUAACAAAAAUCUUUUUAUUUAAAGGAUAAUGACUUCAAAUUCAAAUACUUAAUUUUUUAAUUCAAAACUUGAUAAAAGUCCAAUUAGAACUCUCUAAUGUGAUAACAAACUAUUUCUAAUAUGUAAUUUAAUUUUAUAAUUUUUUAAUUUAAAAUUAACAAUUUGUUGGUCUAAUUUUCUUUUGAUAGUUAACCUUUUUUUGCACGUAUUUUCUUAAAAGAUUCAAUGGUAAAGUUAUUAUUAACACAAAACUAUAAUGAUUUUUAUUUUUUUUUCUUUUGUUUUUUUUUCUUUUCUUUCAAUUAUGGGUUUCUGCUUUUAAGAUAAUGAAUCUUUUGAUUAAAAGGAUAAUGUAUUUCAAAUUCAAAUACUUAAUUUUUUAAUAAUCAAUUCAAAACUUGAUAAGAAUCCAAUUAGAACUCUCUAAUGUGAUAACUAACCAUUUUUCAUAAGUAAUUUUAUUUUAUAAUUAUUUUUAAUUUAAAAUUAAUAAUUUAUUAGUCUUAAUUAUCUUUUGAUAGUUUAUCUAUUUUUAUUUUUUUUUCNNNNNNNNNNNNNNNNNNNNNNNNNNNNNNNNNNNNNNNNNNNNNNNNNNNNNNNNNNNNNNNNNNNNNNNNNNNNNNNNNNNNNNNNNNNNNNNNNNNNNNNNNNNNNNNNNNNNNNNNNNNNNNNNNNNNNNNNNNNNNNNNNNNNNNNNNNNNNNNNNNNNNNNNNNNNNNNNNNNNNNNNNNNNNNNNNNNNNNNNNNNNNNNNNNNNNNNNNNNNNNNNNNNNNNNNNNNNNNNNNNNNNNNNNNNNNNNNNNNNNNNNNNNNNNNNNNNNNNNNNNNNNNNNNNNNNNNNNNNNNNNNNNNNNNNNNNNNNNNNNNNNNNNNNNNNNNNNNNNNNNNNNNNNNNNNNNNNNNNNNNNNNNNNNNNNNNNNNNNNNNNNNNNNNNNNNNNNNNUAUAGUUUCAUCUUUAAUUUAAUAUUUAAAUAAAUUAUAUUUAAAUAUAUUAUAUAGCUUAAAUUUUAAAAGAGAUAAGUUUGUGAAAGAGUAGAAGUCACUUUAGAGCUACAAACUGUAACACAUUCAAUAGCUAUUGACAUCUAGAAAUUUAUAGUUGUCAUAUUCCUAUUUAAGCGAAAAUGAAGACGUGGAACUUAAUAUAUAUGUGUCACAAACACCUCAAUGUCAAGUCCUUUCCUUUCAACAAACAUCAUAAGGAAUCGACUAAGCAAAAUUAUUAUGUACAAAGGAAAAUAAAUAGGCAUGAUAGUCAAAUAUACUGCAGUAAAGUAAAAAUGAGAAGGGCAAAAGAAAAGAAGAAUCAUACCCAUGAAAACUGAGCACUACGGAACUUGUUAGCUCCAGCCAUAUGUGAAUCAAGAGGGUUUAGAUUUAACAAUCUUGGAGCCGAAAUCUUAUUCUCCAUGCGACCAGCAAAAUCAGUUUUAGUACUUCCAUUCUUGUCAACAAAUAAGGUGCAUAUCAAUAUCAAAUAAGUAUCAGUUGUCCCUAAUAUCCACUUCCCAUCAUAGAUAACAUCAACAUGAGUGAUAGGAGAACCAAGCCUGAAAAAGCAGUUUUAGCCUGUCUCAUGGAACUGCUUGAGUACAACCUAAUCUCGCCAUCAAGUGAACCACCAACUAUCUAUCCAUCACCAGUAAUAUCACAACACUGAAAGUUAGUUCCCCUCAAAGGAUAUCAAUUUUAAAUGUCGUGAUUAUUGUUUCUACCACUACUACUGAUUAUAUAGAUAUAAACGAGAUAUUAAGAAAAUAGAACUUCACUUCAAUUUAAAUUUCAUUUCAAUUCAAAUUCAAAUUUAUAUUCAAAUUCAAAUAUAAUAUCUAUUUAUUAAAAGAAGAUGAAUUAUUAUUCUUCCUUAUCCAUAAUUUUUCAAAUAUAGUACAUACUUAUCUUAUAAUGUCUAACAUAAGUUUAAAUUUUUAAUACCUAAAUAUACUAUUUAAUUAUUUAUUUAUAUUAUUAUUAUAUUUUAUUAUUAUUAGUAUACUACCACUAUCACACGUAUGUACUACUAUUAUUACUACUAAUAUUACUAUGUUUUGUUAUUAUUAGUAUACUACCACUAUCACACGUAUGUACUACUAUUAUUACUACUAAUAUUAUUUAUUUAUAGAUUAUAAUCAUUAUAAAAUAUGUAGAGUUUAUUUAGACUCUUCAACUAUGAAUUUCUAAUUUUAAACUAAUGAAAAUUUCUUUUUCUUCUAAAAGCCUAAUAUUUCUAAAUUCAAAUAAUUUUAAAUCUUUUAUAACAAUAUUAUAAGUUUUGUCCUAAAAUCUGCCAACUGGUUUAUUCUUAUGCUGCCACUUGACUUAUUCUGGUGCUUCGUCCUCUGCUUUAUAAUAUAUAUAGAUUCUAACUUAUUCAUUUGUAUUUGUUUGAACACUUUAAUCAAUCUAAAUAAAUCCCCCAAGACAUCAUUAUUUUUCUUUUAUCUUCAUUUUCCCCUUCGUUACUUACUUGAAUUUCUCUAUUAUUAUUAUUAUUAUUAUAUUAUUAUUAUUAUUAUUAUUAUUAAAAUGAAGUAAAAUGAACUCUACAUUAAUCUUUUUGAACACAAAUAUUUUCACAUUAAAAUGACUUGCGUUUGUUCAAGUAAUAAUAAUUCCCGUUUAGGUUAAAAGGAGUUUUCUCAAGCAUGAAAAGAAAGAUUUUCUUGUAUUGAAAAGUUUAAACUCUCUCAUAAUCGAUUAAAUGUUCCUUACUCAAUAUUCUUUUCUCUUAAAAUCUAUCAUUGUUAAAAAUUAAGAUUUUAAAUUAACGUUGACCCAAAAGAUUGAUUUCCCUUAGUAAAAUAAAAUAAUUUUCCUUAAAACAAAAUGAAUUAUUAUUUUCAUUAAAGUUAUAUUAUUAAAAAAAUCAACUCUUUUUUUGAGCUUAAAAACUUGGCGAAAAAAAAUAAUUUUCAAAAUCGCUUGAUUCAAGUUUGAUAUUUUAUAUAAAAAUUGACAUUUCCACAAAGUUAGCCUUUUGAGUUAGUCAAAAUAUUUUGGUUAACCGUUUGAAACCAACGUUCCUAAGUUCCUUAAAAUCCUUCUUAGGACGCCCAUUUUCUCUAAUUUUAAAGGUUUAUUUCUGUUUUUGAACAUUUUAAAUUCGUUUAAGUUUUCUUGAUUUUUUCUAUUAAGUGGCGACUCUAUAAUUUUUCUUAAAUUAUUUUGACAUUUUUCUAAGUUUUAAAAUAAUUUGAGAAGUCGAAAACCAUUUUCUUAUAAAUAAUUUGCCUUCUCUUUGAUAAAUCCGAAAAGUGAUAAAACAUAAAUGACGACUCUGCCGGGGAGGAUUAGGUUCUUAACCAUAACAAACUUAGGCUAACAAAUAUGAUUUUCUAAAUAUCUGUUUAUUCUAUCUUAUAUGCUCUAUGUGUUUAUCAUGUUUAUUUGAUAUAAACUGUUUAUUUACUAGUACUUUGUAUAAAUUAUUUAUUAUUAAUUUAUAUAAAUUGUCAUUCCGUUAAUAUUUCUUCCACUCGAGAAAAUUGACACAGUCACACGUACACGUGAGGUGUGUUUCGCGCACUUGCAAACUUCUUUCAAAUUCUAAAUUUUAGGAGAGUUGGCGUAUGCGCAGUGUGUCCGGAUCUUUUUCUGUAUGACCGCGUAGCCUUUUCACCUGAGUUGUCCACUCAAAAACCUUGUGUCUAGUAAGUCAAAUCUUAGAAGAACUUAAGAUAGAGUUUCCCUGAAUAUAGGUCAUGCAUGCAUAAGCCUUAGGUGGUUUGACCCAAGGUGUCAUUCCGCAAAUUUAGGAAACGCACUUAUGUCAAAUGAGUUUACAACCCGAAGACAACCGCUCAUAUUUUGUGCACAUGAUAAUGAUAAAUGGAUCCAAUCCUAAUUGUGAUACCGCGAGUUUGGAAGACGUGUACUUAUCUUAUUGUAUUUAUUUGUAUGGUGGAUUUAGUUCCCCAAGUGCCCAAGAUUAGAAUGGUCGAAGGUAUUUCACACAAGUUGAGGAUAUGGUGGGAAAAUUUUGACUCGACCAAAAAAUUAGCGAUCACUAGAAUAUUAGGGUUCCUCCCUACACUCUUUAAGAUCUUCCCUGACAAGCAUAUGGUUAGAGCGUUGAUUCAUUUUUGGGACCCAGAUCGAGUUGUCUUUACGUUUAAAGACUUUGAACUCACUCCUAUAUUAGAGGAGAUCUAUUACUUCACUAAUUUGAAGUAUCAAGCGAUAGGUCAGAUCAUCGCACACAUUCAGUCAGGGAAGAAAUUUCUUCGCUACUUGAGAUUAAAUAACAUCUGAUGAACUCUGUUGCUUAAAAAAAAUUAGGUGUCUUUGGAUUAUUUGUACGAGAGAUACGGUCGUCAAGAUAUUUAUAAGCUAUUCAAGAAGGAGUUCGCUUGCACUUCUACCUACUGGCGGGUUAGGCGUCUGAUUGUAUUUGCCGUUGCUUACUAGGGACUUUGGUAUUCCCACAAGAAUAUGGAAAGAUUAGUACUUGCAUAUGCUCCAUGGCUCGAACAUUUUUUAAAGGCGUUAAUAACAUCAAAAUCACCUUAGUUCCUAUGAUCUUGGCAGAAAUAUUUCGCGUACUUGAAAAGUGUAAAAGAGAUUAGACAAAGUUUUUUAAAGGUUGCAAUCUCCUUUUGCAGAUGUGGGCAAAGAGCAUUUAUACAAGUGUGAUAAUAUGACCGGCAUAAUGUUUAGUGCUUCACAUAAUAUCAACACUCAUGAUGAUAGAAUGAAGAAGUUCAUUUCUCGGUCGGCACCGAUGAUUGGUUUGAGUUCUUAGCCUCUCUAAUGGAGAUACCCACUACUUUCAUGUUCCAUGGCUUACAUAUGGUGCAGAGGGAUCUAUUAUAUUGAGAUUAUCAGAUUAAGAGAUCUACAACCAUAUUCCCCGGUGCGUGUACUCCAACAGUUUGGUCAUACACAGGUCAUCCCUCUCCGAGCAAAUAUACGAGUUUUGAAAGUCCUUUUUGGUCCAGACUUUAAAGUUCCUAGGGCCAGUCAAACUCUGUAUAAAUAAAAUAACAUUCUCACAAUAGAUGUGAUACACAGACCAAUGGAGUGUAUGCUAGAAUACCAGGUGUGGGUUUGAGAAUAUUGUAGCGAUAUAAAACCCAGCCCAGAAGGGGAACAAAGUUUUGAGGAUAUUGGGAUGACUAUUUGGAUAAGACAUUUUCGUCUUGGAACCACGGUAGUCACGCCUGAAAUGUGGGCUCAAAUGUCCAACAUAAUGCAGUAUUUGGAAAAUGCGAGAGCAGGGACUAGCAAUGUUAAGGCAUCAUCUUCACAUCCUCUAGCGGCAUGAUCAGAAACAGGGUCUAGGCUAAGUUUUAAGAUUGUCUUUUUUUUUAUGUAUUUUGGUCUUAUUUCUUAUCUUUGUACUCGAUUAAUAUUUCAAUGAAACUUGACAUUUAUUCCAAAACUCAAAGUUUGUCUUAAAUUAAUAGCUUGGAUCAAUUUAUCAUAAUCUCAAAUACUUGAUGCUAGGCCAACUCUUGGCUCAAAAGGGUCACCCAACUAGGGCAUGCUAUUUACUAUUCUAUUGUUGUGUGAUAUGAAUAUCUUAUGUGAUAUAACUAUUUAUGUGCUAUGUGUGUUGUUAAAUGAAAGGUAAAUUGAUCCAUUCCUCAACAAAUCCUUAGAAAACCCUUUAGGCAAAAAAUAUACGCCUACUAUCUAAAAUCAGUCCAAAAUAUUCCAAGUCCUCAAGUUUCUCAGAAAGUCCUUAACUAUUUUUGUUAGUUUUCUUUUUAAACGUAUUCCUAGUCUUUUAGGAAAUUUUGUCAUGGAUUCAAGGACCACACCACUAAAAAGAUGGAUAGUGGAGUUAGCCCAAGUCGAAGAAAUGCAAAAAGAAAAGGUCGAGAAACUGAUUAGGAGGGCCGAUCAGGCCGACAAGGAAAUUGCUAAAGCCAAGCAGUUGAUCGCACAUGAAAAGAAGAAGUUUGAUCAAGCUCCGCCUUUAAACUUAAGAGAGGCCCGCUGGGCCAUGAUUAAAAGGGAUGUCAUCUAGCCCACUAGGAUCAGGGCGGGAAGUGAAAAGAUCACCCUCAAAGCUCACUUCAAAGGACAUCCUCGAUGCCCUCAGAUUAUGAUAUGCUCGACAAUUUAUCAGAUCCUAAGAGAUAGGAGUCCUCCACACUGAUCAAAUAGAAGGAUUUGGCUGUUUUCCCGAAGAUGCUCAUAAGAGAUGUCACUAUCAUCCAAAUAAAUGUGGCCAUACCACUAAUGAGUAUCCUGCUUUGAAGGACAAGAUUUAUAACAUGAUUUGCAACGAUCAAAUGAAUAAUUUGUGGGGAUCGCAAACUAUUCUCUAUUGCGAUCAGGUUGAUCCCAAAAUACCCAUCACCAACGACUGAUGAUUUAUAAAUAUGACUUCAAGAGGUUUGAGGAUACCUACCAUGAAAUCUACUCAAAGAUCAUCCAAGCCAAAAUUUUAGAACCAAUGGAGAGGAAGCCUAAUACGAUGCCUAAAGCUUGGAAGGAGUUCAAAGAGGUUUGUCAUUAUCAUGGAGGGAUCAGAGGGCACAACUUGGAGACUUGCCAUGCUUUUAGGAUGGAUUUGGAGAUCCUGGUGGAAACAGUAAGGGUUGAGUUGGAAUUUCCUCCAUAUUGUCCAUAGAAGAUCAAAAUGUGGAAGAAGCAGAAUGAAGUGAGAAUGCCCACAUCUAUCUAGGACCUAGUUUUUAGUCUUGUCUUUUCUGUUGUUGUUUUCCUUUCUUGUUUUCUUGAUGUAACAAAAUCUAACAAAAUUAUAAUGAAGUAAAGUUUUAUCCUUACCUAUUUGAACUACGUAUGGCCUGAUUUUUCUUUGUGAGAUACGUAGGUAGCCUUUCGGCUCGACCUCUAUCCUUUAAAAUUGUUAUGUCUCAUUUUGUCAAAGAAAGUUAUGAGUUCAAAAUCAGAAGAUUUGGCAAAAAUCUUGUCAAGACCCAUUUAUCCCCAAAUCAACGUAUAACGUGUUUCCCGUUAAUUUCUUUUGAGUCUAUGCCCACACGUGGAUUAAUUUACCUACGAUGAAAGUAACUUUAUAUGUUUACUUUAUGUCGGUUAUCUUGCAUUAUUUAUUACUAAUCGAAUCUAACAUAUUUUUCUUUAGAGUUGUUUUACCAGGUAAUCAAGUAAGUAGAAAUUGAUCAAAACCGACUGAACAACAAUACUUCACUAGAUCUAAGGCAAAUAAAUUUUUUUCCCUCGACCAUCACUUAGCUGAAAAGGAAAGAAUGACUGGUACUAGUGAUGAUAAUGCUCUCACCAAAAUUACUGUUAGGGUUGGCGUGAUAACGACACAAGGUGAGAUGAUUGCUGAACUAACUAGGAGAAUGGAGGAGCUUUAAGAAGAAGUACAACGAGCAAAAGAUAUCUAACUUGGCCAUCACCGCUAAUACGUUAAUCUUGGAUAUGCACUUCCUCUCCGAUUCUCUCCUCUUAGCUAUCCUAACAAUGGAAACCAACCAAAUGACAUACCCUCUACUUCUAUGCCUAGACCUACCACUAAUCCCAUUAAUCCAUCGUGUCAAGCCAUAUCCCUCCUACUUAUAAUACCAAAUGAGAAAACAACCUAAAUAAUUUCCACCCUCAAAGCUUCACUCUAAAUUACCAAAGUACCUCCACAAAUGCCUUUACUUCCCAAAAUACCCGCCCCACUUUCAAUCCCAAUGCCAACGUUCCCUAAAAUCUAGUUCCCACAUACCAAAACUUUGCUUACACCACUCAAAAUCCUCCGAUGACCUAAAAUAUGUCUCUCGCCAUCGUCCAUGCUACUGUAUUGCCUACUUCUUAUCAUACAUUCCCCCGAAAUCCAGAAAUUAACCACUAUGAGAAGAUGAAGGAGUGUAAGGUGCCUGAAGACAAACAUGCUAGGGAGCUACUGUUGAUAAAGGAAGAGAUCGCCAUGAUGAAGAAAACUCAUGGUUUGCCUAUUGUAGUAGGGUUUAGUUAUGAUGAACUUUGCAUUCACCCCUACUUGAACCUGCCUGAAGGAUUUAAAGUUCCUAAGUUUGAGAUAUUCAAUCACACUGGAAACCUACGACUUACUUGAGAGGAUUUUGUGACCAAAUAGUAGGCGCUGGUAGAAAUGACACAUUAUUGAUGAGGCUCUUCAGUCGAAGCCUGAGUGGGGAAGCAUUGGAAGGGUUUGCUUUACAGGAGCUAAAGAAAUGGCCUGAAUGAAGAACUUUAGCCAGGGAUUUUGUUGAUAGAUUUGCCUACAAUUUGGAGAUGCCUCUUGAUCGACAUUCUUUGAACUACAUCAAGAAAAAGUCUAAUGAAUUCUUUCGUGAAUAUGCCUAUCAUUGGCGGAAGAAGGCAGUAAAGGUAAGACCUCCUAUGACAAAAGAAGAAAUAGUCCCUGUGUUUACCCAAGCUUAAGAGGGAGAGUUUUAUGACAAAAUUAUAUCGGCAGUUUGUGCUACCUUCGCUAAUUUGGUUAAGAUUGGUGAAACAGUUGAAGAAGUACUCAUGACAGGAAAAAUUAACAAGACCUCUGCACAACUUAGAUCUUUGGGAUUCCCAAAGAAAAAGAGAUAAGUUCUGUCUUUCGUAUCCUUUAGUCCAAACCUGAAGUCAAAAAAAUCCUUCGAUUCUAAUUUUGGGUAAAGGCCAUCACCGUCUAUAAACCCCUCAGUUUCACAUAAUCCCCAACCGGUGUUCUAUACCCAGCCUAGCCCCCAAAUUCCAUAACCAAAUUUCUCUACCAAUUAACCAAAUUACCCAGCUCCAUUGCCAAAUUAUCAACCCACUUACAAAGCUCCACUCCCAAACUUCCAAGCCUACCAAAAAGCUCCAGUUAACCAGAAUUACCAUCAAGUCCCUCUUCCUAUUCACCAAAAUCUUCUUCAUCCAAAUAACAAAAAUAAAGUCACUAGAAGUUUUACUACUUUGGCUGAAACUAGAACUCAGUUGUUUGAAAGGAUGAAGAAAGCGGAUCUCAUUCGACCUAUCCCACCGAAACUCGCCAAUACCAAUUCUCGAUUCUUCCAUGCUGACCAGUAUUAUACAUAUCAUUCAGGGGGUGUUGGACACACAACUGAGGACUGUAUUAAUUUAAAGCACAAGAUUCAAGAUUUGAUUAAUUAGAAGGUUAUUUUGCUUCAGACGAUGCCCCCAAAUAUUAUCACAAACCCUCUCUCAAACUAUGAAGGAGAAACCAUCAGUAUGAUAGAAACUGACGAUGAGUAGGUUGUGCAGAAGUCGAUAACCCAGGUUAGCUCAAAAAAAGUGGAUAGGGUGAAAAAUGUAGAAAAAAUAGUGGCUUCCUUAACUAUCAUGGAGAAACCCAAGUUUUUAGCAUUCACCGAACCUUAUCAAGUUUUUGCCUAGUUCCUGUAAGAGAAGAAUUUAUGGUUAAAUCCACUGCCACGUAAGGAAUGACUAGAUCAGGGAGAUGUUACACUCCAGAGGAGCUUGCCGAUGAUGCAUACAAGAAGUGUGCUCAGAAAAGGCCAAUUGAUGAAGGGAAAACUGAAGAAUUUUGGAGAAGAAUGUAGCUAAAAGAGUACUCUAUUAUGAAACAUUUAGAUAAGACGCCCGCCCAGAUUUCUCUUUGGGCAUGGAUUAUGAGUUCUCAAUAUCAUAGACAAGCUUUGCUGAAAGUUAUUAAAGAAGCCUACGUGAUCGUAGGCACCAGUACUUAAAAUUUGGUGGGCAUGAUCAAUAGAGUAUGGGAACCCAUCACAUCAGCUUUGGUAGAGAUGAGUUACCUUUCGAAGGAGUGAUGCAUAACAAGGCAUUGCAUAUUACUGUCAAGUGCAAGAUAGGAUCGUUAACAGGGUAUUAAUCAACGAUGGAUCAGGUCUAAAUAUAUGUCCAUUAUCUGUUUUGACUCAGUUGAACUAUGAUAUAUGAAAAAUGUGUCAGAACAUGGUAAAUGUAAGAUCUUUUAACGGGGGUCAGAGAAACAAUAUUGGCGAAGUCAAGUUGUACCUUCAAAUAGGGCCUACAGAGUUCUUAGCUGAGUUUUAGGUGAUGGACAUCUCCACAAGUUAUAAUCUGCUCUAAAGAAGGCCUUGAAUUCAUCCAGCGGGGGGCAUUUCUUCAACAUUACACCAGUCAGUGAAGUUCUUGUAGGAAAAUAAUGAAGUGGUCAUCCAUGGUGAAAGAAGCCAUCUAAGUCACCCUAAUGGGUGUAUUUCUGUGAUUGGAGAAGUCCCAAAAGAGAGUGACUUUUACGCAGUGGAGAUCGUGAAUGCAACUGAGAAAGACCCAACUCCUUGCGAGCCAAGGCCUUUGAUUUACAAGAUGUUGGCCACUGUUAUGCUAAGAAGCGAUUUUAAGCCCGGGUAUGACUUAGGCAAAAAUUUGGUGGGAUCAUUGAGCCUGUCGUGAUCCCAGAAAAGUUGUUCAAAUAUGGGAUAGGCUAUGUGACAAGUAAAAAAAGUGAAAGAGAGAUAAAAAGAGAAGGCCCAUAAUUGGCAAAGAGGUUACCUCUACUCUAUCAGUCAUUUCCUGUAUCUGUAAAGCCUACAAGCGAUAGUCUCAAGGAUGGAAUAGGGAACUUGUUCGAAGAGUGUGAUGCUAUUAUAGAAUAUUUUCUUGAGAAGACUAAAAACAAUAUAGAGGGACCAGGAAAGAAGAUGUCGAACUGGAUUUCCACUCCUAUCGUGACUCCCUAGUUGAUAUAAUAGAUGAAAGGAUGAAACUUUACUUUUUCAAAAUUGGUGAUAGUCCGAAUAAGGCUCGAGACCCACCCUUUAAGUGUAUUUACCUCAUUUUUAUGUUUGGUGCUUUCCAAAAGGCCCAGACCUGCACUAGUUCAGAUCAUAACCAAUGUUUAUAAUUUUCUAAAAAUUCAAUAAUAGCCUUCCUUAUUGCAAAAAUAGUUGUCUUCUAUUUUUGUUGCAUGAUCUGAUCACAUAUCUAACUUAUGUUUAUGAUUUUUCAGUAAUAAUAAUUUAAAACCUGCCAAUGUCAUGUCAUGUCGAGAUCUAAGUGAACAAAUCAAAGCAAAUGAUGAUGAAUUGGAAGAGUAUGACGAAGAAACAAUAGUCCCAGACAAGUUAACAAAGGAAUUAAAAGAUUUUAAGGAACGGGAAAGGCCCAACCUAGAGGAGACUGAGGUAAUUAAUCUAGGUGAUGAGGGGAAAGUCAAAGAAACCAGAAUCAGUGUGUAUCUGACAAAUGAUCAUAAAAGAGAACUCAUCAGGUUGCUUAAAUAAUACUUAAUGUGUUUGCUUGGUCCUAGACAACAUGCAAGGAUUGAGUAUAAAUAUCGUAUCACACAAGUUGCUAAUUGAUCAAGGGUUCUAUCCUGUAAAGCAAAAGUCUCAAAAAUUCAAGCCAGAUUUGAGUCUGAGAAUCAAGGAAGAAGUCACCAAGCAAAUUCAGGCCAAUGUGGUUGAAGUCAUGAAGUAUCCAACAUGGCUAGCCAAUAUUUUCCCAAUACCAAAAAAAGAUGGAAAGAUCAAAAUUUAUGUCGAUUAUAAAAAUUUGAACAUAGCCAGUCCUAAAGAUAACUUUUUAUUACCUAACAUCCAUAUUCUCAUCGACCACUAUGCAAGGCAUGAAAUGCAGUCAUUCAUGGAUUGCUUUGCCGGGUACCAUCAAAUACUGAUGGAUGAAGAAGAUGCAGAGAAAACAGCCUUCAUCACACCCUGGGGUGUUUAUCACUAUAGGGUGAUGCCCUUCGGUCUCAAAAAUGCUGGUGCUACGUAUAUGAGAGCCAUGACGACCAUAUUUCAUGAUAUGAUCCAUAAAGAAAUUAAAGUGUAUGUGAAUGAUAUGAUCAUCAAGUCACGCAAGAGUUCGGACCACUUAGCCCACUUGAGAAGGUUCUUUGAUCUAUUACAGAAAUAUAAUUUAAAGUCGAAUCCUACCAAGUGUGCUUUUGGGUACCAACUGGGAAAUUAUUGGGUUUCGUAGUAAGCAGAAGGGGCAUUGAGCUUGGCCCCUAAAAUAUUAAGGUGAUCCAAGAGUUGCCUCAUCAAAGACAAAGAAAGAAGUCAUGAGUUUCUUAGGAAGAUUGAAUUAUAUUAGCAGGUUCAUAGCACAAUCAACAGUUAUUUAUGAACCUUUCCUCAAGAUGUUAAAGAAAGAUGUGCCUAGUAAAUGGACCGAGGAAUGCCAGAAAACUUUCGACAAGAUCAAAGAUUAUCUAUUUAGUCCACCAGUGCUAGUUUUGUCAAGAGAAGGAAGUCCUCUAUUGUUGUACCUAUUAGUCUCAGACAAUGCAUUUGGAUAUAUCUUGGGAAGCAUGAUAAAAUUGAAAAGAAGAAAAGAACAAUUUAUUACCUGAGUAAGAAAUUCACUCCAUAUGAGGCUCGUUACACUCUAUUGGAAAGGACGUGUUGUGCACUGACCUGGGUGUCCCAAAAGCUAAGGCAUUACUUAACAUUAUAUACAACGUAUCUUAUUUCGAGAAUGGAUUCUUUAAAGUACAUAUUCCAAAAGGCCAUGCCCACGGGGAAAUUGGCUAAAUGACAAAUAUUAUUGAGUGAGUUUGACAUUGUAUAUGUAACUCAAAUGGCAAUCAAGGGGCAAGCCCUAGCGGAUCACCUAGCAGAGAAUCCAGUUGUUGAAGAAUAUGAGCCACUUCAAACUUAUUUCCCAGAUGAAGAAGUAUUGUUCGUAGGGGAAGACACUGCCGAAAUAUAUUUGGGAUAGAGAUUAUUCUUUGAUGGGGCAGUUAAUUUUAAGAAUUUAGGAAUUGGGGCAGUCUUAAUAUCGAAAACUGGUUAACAUUAUCCGAUUACUGCCAAGAUGCACUUUCCUUGCACCAAUAAUAUGGCCUAAUACGAGGCUUGUAUUCUCGGUCUCAGACUAGCUAUUGAUAUGAAUAUUCGGGAGCUACUAGUUAUUGGAGAUUCUGAUCUAUUAGUUCAUCAGGUUUGGGGUGAGUGGGCCGUAAAGAACUCUAAAAUCAUGCCAUACGUGGAAUUGGUACAAAAGUUAUGUAGAAGAUUCAAGGAAGUUGAAUUCAAGCAUAUUUUGAGGAUCCAAAAUGAGUUAGCUGAUGCUUUAGCCACUAUAUCCUCUAUGAUUCGCAUCUGGCUCGAAGUUACAUUGAUUCGUUGCAAAUAAGUAUGAAAGAGCAACCUGGAUAUUGAGCAUAAGUUGAGGUAGAACCAAACAAAAAUACAUGGUACUUUGAUAUCAAGAGGUAUUUAAAAGUUGAGGCAUAUCCCGAAGAUGUAACCAUUAAUCAAAAGAAAUCAAUCCAUUGGAUGGUCAAUAAUUUCUUUUUGAAUGGGGAAGACCUUUACAGGAGGACCCCAGAUUUAGAAUUUUUGCGAUGUGUAGAUUCCGUUGAAGCUACAAAAUUACUUGAAGAAAUUCACGUCGGAAUGUGUGGGCCUCAUAUGAAUGGAUUUACUCUAGCUAAGAAGAUCCCGAGAGCCGGCUAUUUCUGGAUAAAUAUAAAAAGUGAUUGUAGUAAAUUUGUGCAAAAAUGUCAUAAGUGUCAGAUACACGGGGAUCUAAUUUGGGUGCCACCACAUGAACUUAAUGUUAUGUGCUUGCCCUGGCCAUUAGUAGCUUGGGGCAUGGAUGUCCUCAUCCCGGUUGAGCCACCAACCUCCAACGGACACAGGUUCAUCUUGGUUGCUAUCAAUUACUUUACUAAGUGGGUGGAAGCCGCGUCAUACAAAGUUGUAACCAAGAAGGUAGUGGCAGAUUUUAUUAAAAACAACUUGAUUUGUUGAUUUGGGGUACCAGAGUCAAUCAUCACAGAACAGGGCAAACUUGAAUAGUCAUUUGAUAAAAGAGAUAUGUGAACAGUUCAAGAUCACUCAACAAAAUUCAACCGCAUAUAUUCCUCAAAUGAAUGGAGCAGUAGAAGCCGCCAACAAAAACAUUAAAAAUAUCUUGAGAAAGAUGGUAGAUAGUCACCGAUCAUGGCAUGAGAUGUUACCUUAUGCAUUACUGGGAUAUUAUACGAUAGUCUGAACUUCGACUGGGGAAACUCCUUAUCUGUUAGUCUAUGGUAUAGAGACGGUAAUACCCGCUGAAGUUGAAAUACCAUCUUUAAGAAUCAUCCAAGAAGUAGGGUUGAGUAAUAAAGAAUGGGUAUGAGCCCGCCAUGAAUACCUUAUGAUUAUCGACGAAAAGAGGAUGAGGUCUUCUGCCACUAUAUCCUCUAUGAUUCGCAUCUGGCUCGAAGUUACAUUGAUUCGUUGCAAAUAAGUAUGAAAGAGCAACCUGGAUAUUGAGCAUAAGUUGAGGUAGAACCAAACAAAAAUACAUGGUACUUUGAUAUCAAGAGGUAUUUAAAAGUUGAGGCAUAUCCCGAAGAUGUAACCAUUAAUCAAAAGAAAUCAAUCCAUUGGAUGGUCAAUAAUUUCUUUUUGAAUGGGGAAGACCUUUACAGGAGGACCCCAGAUUUAGAAUUUUUGCGAUGUGUAGAUUCCGUUGAAGCUACAAAAUUACUUGAAGAAAUUCACGUCGGAAUGUGUGGGCCUCAUAUGAAUGGAUUUACUCUAGCUAAGAAGAUCCCGAGAGCCGGCUAUUUCUGGAUAAAUAUAAAAAGUGAUUGUAGUAAAUUUGUGCAAAAAUGUCAUAAGUGUCAGAUACACGGGGAUCUAAUUUGGGUGCCACCACAUGAACUUAAUGUUAUGUGCUUGCCCUGGCCAUUAGUAGCUUGGGGCAUGGAUGUCCUCAUCCCGGUUGAGCCACCAACCUCCAACGGACACAGGUUCAUCUUGGUUGCUAUCAAUUACUUUACUAAGUGGGUGGAAGCCGCGUCAUACAAAGUUGUAACCAAGAAGGUAGUGGCAGAUUUUAUUAAAAACAACUUGAUUUGUUGAUUUGGGGUACCAGAGUCAAUCAUCACAGAACAGGGCAAACUUGAAUAGUCAUUUGAUAAAAGAGAUAUGUGAACAGUUCAAGAUCACUCAACAAAAUUCAACCGCAUAUAUUCCUCAAAUGAAUGGAGCAGUAGAAGCCGCCAACAAAAACAUUAAAAAUAUCUUGAGAAAGAUGGUAGAUAGUCACCGAUCAUGGCAUGAGAUGUUACCUUAUGCAUUACUGGGAUAUUAUACGAUAGUCUGAACUUCGACUGGGGAAACUCCUUAUCUGUUAGUCUAUGGUAUAGAGACGGUAAUACCCGCUGAAGUUGAAAUACCAUCUUUAAGAAUCAUCCAAGAAGUAGGGUUGAGUAAUAAAGAAUGGGUAUGCGCCCGCCAUGAAUAACUUAUGAUUAUCGACGAAAAGAGGAUGAGUUCUUCUGCCAUGGCCAAUUAUAUCAACAACAAAUGAGUCUUUCUUUCAACAAAGAGUAAGAGCUCAUGUAUUCGAAGUUGGACAAUUGGUGCUCAAACAGAUAUUUCCUCACCAAGAAAAAUAUAAGAGAAAGUUUGCUCCAAAUUGAAAGGGGCCAUAUGUAGUCUGCAAAGUGUUAUCAGGAGGAGCCUUAUUUUGUCUGAAAUGGAUGGCCAAAGAUGGACCAAGACAAUUAAUUCUGAUGCAGUGAAGAGGUACUAUGUCUGAUGUAGGGUUUCUUUGUGCUCAUUUCCUUGAAAUUGCUUUCUCUUUUGUAAUCGUUUUUAUGCUUUGUAGUAGCUUUAAAAUCCCCUCUCCUUUUAUGUACGAACUAUGUUUGACUUGAAUUCCCCAAAAGAGGAUACAUAGGCGGCCUAUGUCGGCUUCGAUCAACCAUUUAGGAAAAUUUAUUUAUAUUAUCCUAAACUACGUGAUGACCUGAAUUCCCAAGGACAAGAUAUGUAGGCGGCCUUGUUGGCUUUAGUCACCCUUUUAACUAUAUUUUAUUCUCUUAUAUUAUAGGAACUAUGUUUGACCUAAUUCCUGUUUAACGGGAUACGUAGUCGCAUUAUGGCUAGGUCAUAUCACCCCAAAAAAUGAAAACUAGGGCAAAAUUUUUGAUAAGGAAUCUCAAAAAAUUUAAAAGAAGAAAAUCAUAUUUUGGCAAGCCAAAUUAAAUUUUGAGAGAGAUAUCAGUAACUGGGGCAGAAAUUUUGAGGUUGCCUCAAAAUUUCCCACCAUACUGUACUAAAGAGUUCAAAGAUGACAACAAAGAUUUCGGUGUCGAAAGAGUAGACUUAACUUCAUAGAUCGUCCGCUACAAAGGCUCAACGCCUUUAGCCAAGAAUGUUAUUAAAACUCGUAUGUGACAUGACUUAAUUGGCGGAGACCCCUCCCAAUCUUGUAAAAGAUUUUGAAAAUUCAACUAUUUGUAGAAAUACUUACUUUAAAUUAAUUUAUGCUAUGAUUUUGCCUUACACCUACCACUCGUGGAGUCGAAGCAGGAAUAAAAAAAUGACAAACACCUGAAGAAGAUAAGAAUCGAACGAUGACAAUGACAGAAGCUGAAGACCGAAGAAGUCAACAUAGAUCAAUUUUAUCAAAAACUAAUAAUUUUUCUGUGGAUGCAGGUUAUCCUGAAGCUAACAAAAAAUCAAUGAAAGCGCCGAUUAUUCACCAUAUUUCUUUAUUUUAAAGGAAUACAAUGAAGCCAAAUAUCCCAAGGCCGAUAAGAAAGAGCUAGGAUGGUUAGGAUCUGAAAACAGUUGAGUUUCCUAAAACUAAUAGUUUUUUUAUAGUUGCAGGUAUCAUCAAAUAUGGAAAUGAAAAUGAUGACUUACUCACAUCCCCAGCAAAUCAAGGAUGGGUGUUUGAAAUGGUAUAUGCAGAAGGUCCAACUUGUUAGUGGAAUGGUCAAGGUGAUGCUUUCUGUAAUCACUGUACAGUUAUUUGCAUUCCUCCUCAUUUUCCUAUUGCAUCAUAUCAUGCCGAGAGGGCCAUGCCAUGAGGGCCAUGAUGAGAGGGCCAUGCCAUAAGGACCAUGCCGAGAGGGCCAUUCCAAAAGGAUCAUGCUGUAAGGGUCGUGUCCUGAAAAUCAUAUUGCCUUCUUCGACUAGUUUUGAAGAGACAAUAAUCUAAGGGCAUCUCUAUGUUGCAUUUGAUGCCCAUGAUUGCUUCAAAGUCUUCUAUAUCCAUUAAUCAUACAAAGGCGAAAGAGUCUAUUGUUGAAGGAUAUUCUGAAGCAUUUUCAUAUAUAUAUAUAUAUAUCCAAUAAUUAUGCGAAGACAAGAGAGUCUGGCUUUGAAGGAUAUUUUGAAGCAUUCAUAUCUGAUCAAAUCACGCAAAUGCAAAGAAGUCUAGCGUUGAGAGAUAUUCAUUAGCUUCAAGUGCAUCAAUGAUUAAAGAUUUAAUGGAAUUCACUAUUGGAUCUCAAGAAACACAUGAUUCGAAGGGACGUCUUUAAGUCUCUAUUUGAAAAUAGAUGAUAUAUGAAAAUUUUCGAGAAUUGACAAUCCGAGGGUCAUCUAUAAGUCAUAUUAUUUGAAAUAGGAUAGUGUGCAAGAUUAUCCAUGAGUUGAAAGCCCAUAGGUUAUCCAUAAGCCGCAACAACAUCCUAAUCGGAUAGUGUGCAAGGUUAUCCAAAGAUCGACAGUUCGAAGGUUAUCCAUAAGUCGCAACUAAAUCCUUACCGAAGAAUAUGCGAGAUUAUCAAAUUGAUAGGCCCAAGGUUUCUCUAUAAGCUGCGUCAUACCCAAGAUCGAUUAUGCGCAGAAUUAUCCAAAGACUAUCAAUUUAAGAGAUAUCUAUAAGUUAUAUUGUAUCCAAGGUCAGAUAAUGUGCAGGAAUACCUAAGAGCUAGCGAUUGGAAGGAUAUCUGUAAGUCAUCUUUUAUCCAAGGUUAGAUAAUAUGCAGGAUUAACUAAAAGCUAGCAAAUCAAAGGAUAUCUGUAAGUCACCUCAUAUCCAACAUCAAAUAAUGCGUAAGAUUAUCCAAAGAUUGAUAAUUUAAGGAAAAUCUAUAAGUCGUAUCGAUACGAGAGAUGCGCAAGACUCCCCAAGGUCAAAUACGACAAGCAUUAUAGUGACCAAAAAUGUUUCCACAUUAGCAUAUGGCUAUGCAUUUGCAGAGAUCGCUCUAUACGUGUCGUCGGUGCCCAAGAGAGCCAUCCCACUUUGAAAAGCAUUUCCAACAGUCAAGACAACCAUUUUGUUUAAUAAAAAAUAUUGUUGUGUCGGGUAUUGCGAGAAUUGUCUCCCUCUAAAUAGGUACAUGAAAGGAUAACAUCUUUUGCAGGUAGCAACUCACCCGGAGAUAUGGUAAAAGACUAUAAACAUCGUAGUGAGUUAUGUUCAUUACUAACCGUUUUGUUCGAUAUGUUGUCGAGAGUAUCCGAAAAGAAUGAAAAUCUCAAACCAAAAUCACAGGUGCGGACGACUCCAAAAAGGAUGCAGCACAACGUGGAACUUUUUCUUAGCAGCGAACUAGGACAUAGUCCAAAGAAGAAUAUCAAACUCUUUGGACGCGAGCUAAAGAAGACUUCCACCAUCAUCAAACCAUAUCCCUAUCAGAAGACAUGUGGUUAUUUUGAAAAUUUUAUUUCAGUUUCUCUCUCGAGAUAUUUUUAAACCUAUACCGAGGGUAAUCUUCUCUUUCCUUCAAAUCUGGGGACAACACACUCAGAGUUUUGGGUGUCCAAGUAAAAUCUUACCUAUGGAUAUGAAGAGCUCCACAUUCAUGGUUAAGAGGUUAGAAGCCUCUAUUCUGCAACUCAAUAAGCUUGUCACUCAUCCCGAGCCAAAGAUCGUCUAAAAUAAAUGACUAUCUUUUCUAUCAAUUGAGUCAAACUACAAGUAGUCUGAUUUUCUAUAUCUUAGGGAUAUGUAGGCUGAACUCCAUGUGGAAAACUCGACUGCAUUCCAACCUCUCUCGAUUCCCCUAUUCCCUAACUUUUCGGUUUCACCAAAAUUUCAAAAUUAAGAUAGCUUGUGAAUUUUUUAAAGGUCAAGCUUAAAAUCAAGCUUUAUGAACUACAUGUGGCCUGAAUUCUUAUGUAACCUGAGAUAUGUAGGAAAUCUGCUACCGAGGCCCGGCCAUAACUCCAUGAAACUUGCGUGAAAAUCAACCUCUUUCAGAAGUAAAUUUGUGAUCGAAAAAAAAUUAGAAACGUCAAACUCUCUUUUCCCAGAGUUACUUGCAUUUACCCUACCCAAAGAGAGGGGGCAGUUGUUGACAACUAAUUUUUGCCUUCCAUGAAUAAGUUUAAUCCUGAGUUUCUUCGAUUUUAAAUAAAAUUAAAAUAUUUAUUUAUCCGGAUAAAUAUUUUUAAAAAUUCUCAUUUGGAUAAGUUUUGCCAUUUAGGUGACAAAUUAUUCAUUUCUACAUUCACGUAUAUGAGGUUGUAUAAAUUUGGUUGCUUAAAUAAAUUAUUUUAUCAAUUUUUUUUUAUUAUAAAAUUUUGAUUUAAACAUGUAAGUUGUUCUUCAAAUUAAUUAUUCGGAAAGUAUUUACUCGAUAUUAUUAAGUUACGAGACUUGAGAUUAAAUUUAAUAUUAAUUUGUUUCGAAUUUUGAUUCAACUUAGUCAAUUUAUUGGAUUCGGUCAUAAUUGAAAUCUAUUUGGCCACAAUUGCUAUGCAAUUAGCCAAUGGACUUAUUAAUUUGGCUAGAUUAUAAUAAAUUGAUUAAAAUGUCAAUUAAUUUAGGUUAUCUCUUAAAUAGUUUAAUCCCCAACACAAAAUAAAUGUGUAAAUCUACUCCAUGCCCAAAUUUUGGCUGAUCCAUACAGCCCAACAACAAUUAAAACCCCUCACCUUAAUUCUAAUUCAACCUACCAGCCUAACAGCUUCAUCAAACAACCCAACAGCCCACAACCUGACUCGGCCCAACUAUAUUUCCCCUUUUUCCUUUACAGCAAACAACAGCUUCCACAAUAUCAACAAAAACCAACGCACAGUAACACAGCCGAGAACAACGACAAUCAAUGCAAUGCCGAACAACGCUAAAACCACCGAACAUCGGGAAAUCCGGUGGUUUUUAACCUCUCUCCUUGUUGAUCUUAUCUGGUCAUCCGAGAUUUCAGCCUGUCUCCAUCAACAUCUUUUCAAUGCUCUUUCUCUUCCUAUUUUUCUGAAAAAAAUCAAACCAAAAGGGAUUGUUUUUCUCCACUGCAGACCUCUGAGAAGAGAAAUAUAUGGAAAUUCGAUGCUCUUUGGGGUGUUGUUUCUUUGAUUCAGUGGACAAACAAUUGCUCACCUUGAAGAACCCAAUUGGUCAAAAAUCAAAUCUCCUCAAUCUCAAUCUUUCAAAUUUACUCGGAAAAGGUGAUUUUCUUUUCCUUGAAUACUGUGAACCGUCUUUUUUUCACUAGAUUUUGAAUUUUUUUUCAAAGCUUCUCAAAGAAGAUGUUUUGUGACCCCUAAUUUGGUCUAUAAAGGGGGGUUUUCCCAUCCCUUUAAGAAAAGGGGGGGGGGGGGGGGUAGAGAAACUAGGAAGUUUUUUUUUCUGAGUUUAAUCACACUCUCCUAUUCACUGGUUUCCAUUUCCUUGUUUCGGUUUUACUCAGACCACUCUCACCGUUACCUUUCGUCGUUCAAACUCGGUGAAAAGUUAGUGGUGGAACUGCUGGUCGGCUUGGCUUCCUGGUUCGCUGCCCCAAAAAAGGUGAGAACUUUCUCCCUAAUCUCCUUCGUAUGACUGAAAACUAUGAUGUGAAAAUUGGUUGUGUUUAUUGUCGUUUUAUCGCUGAUUUGAUUGUGCUGUUCGGGAGUAGCAUCCAAAGACUUGUAUUAGGAUUAUUUGAUAUGAUUUCACCCUUUUAUUCUUAGGUAGUCCACAGUCCACAGAGAAUAUUCCGACUGAUUUUCAUUGUCAUAUCCCACAUAAUUGGACCUACUGUUUAUUCCUGAAAUAGUUUAAUGUGGUUUUUCAUUCUAUUUGAGAUAACACCCUAAAGCAACCCUGUAACUGAAAAUUUUACAAAUUUCACCUGCUAGACAUAACUCAUGCUAAUUUGUAACUUAGUUUACUAGUGACUUGCUUCAUGUUGAUUAUUACAUAGUGUGAUGUUUAUAGUUCCACUUGUCCGAAGUUUCCUGUAUGUUGAAAAAUUUAGCUUUAAGAGAGAUCGUGACCUUGAAAAUGCACUAAUUACCUGUUUUUAUGUUUUGAAUUUUUUUGUUUAUCAUUGGGAUGCAACAGCUCUUGAGAAUUUAACUCAAUUGUUUAUGACAUCCGUGAUUGACCUCUUUUAAUAAAGUUUGAAUCAAUGAAGUUCUGAAAAAUGUGUUUUUUCAUAAACUUAACCAAGAAAUCCUUUCCGUAAGUUAGAUUUGUCAAAGUUGAGCCUCUUUCCUCUUGAAACGGUUGUUUGAGCAUGAGUAUGACAUUUUAUCUGUUGCUGCCCGGAUUUUAAGUAGAUAUGAUCCCGAACUUCUCUUGAUGUAUGUUAUUGUUCACCAUUACCUGUAACUAGGCCAAAAACACCUGUGUAUUUCUUUUUAAUGAUAGGUUGUUAGGAGUUAGGACCAACAAAGAUUUAUCCCACUUUAGACAUAUUCAGGGGUGUGGUAAAUAAAUCAAUAAAUAAAUAAAUAAAUAAAUGUUUAAGAUA